UGGAAAGUGAUUUCUUAGUAUAAACUCAUUUUCUUAUUCAUACUUUUAUUCAUUCAUCAGUUUUUUAUUGAGCAUGCUCUGUGUGCUUGGCAGUGGGAUAAUCGCUAAGGCAUCCAAAAGUAAAAGUUGAAAUAGACACAAUCCUUGCUGGCUGGUAUGGGUUGAACGGAGCCCACCCCCAAGAAAGAGCGAUACAUUGAAAUCCCAGCAUCUCAGAAUGUGAACUGAUUUAGAAAUAAAGUCAUUGCAGGGGUAACUAGUAGCCAUAGUGGAGUAGGGUGGGCUCUUAAACCAAAAAGACGUCCUUAUAGGAGGAGGAAGAGAUGGUCACGUGAUGACAGAGGACACCUUUGAAGUGGAGCACUUCCAAGUCAUGGAAUGUGGAGGAUUUCUUCGACACCGAAGCUAGAGGUGACAAGAAGAGAAUAUCCCUGGAAGAUUUCAUUUAGUGGACUUCCCUGCAGAAUUUCACGUUUUGACCUUUUUCUUGAACUUUUCUCCACCUCAACAUCCUCGACUCCCUUAAUAUCCUUAAAUCCUUGUUCUUCUAUAACGCAAGUCACUCGAAGUUUUCAUCUUGAUUUCUCUUGGUUCCUCUUCUCAUUAAAAAUAUCACCUUUCGCAGAAACCAGAAAAAACAGUAACUUUGUAGUCAGAAUGUUAUCCAACUGUAUAUUGUCUACUUUAUUGUAAAUACUGGUAAACAGUGGUCAAUAAAUAGUUUUAUAUUCCUUAAAAAAAAUCACCUUUCCUCAGAGUUUACCCUCAAGCUGUUUCCUCUUCUGAAUUUUUCUCUGCCUUUCUGAGUUAUAAACCUCUUUUAAAAAUCUGUUGAAUACCAGGAACUCUUUCAGAGGAGCUGAGGAUUGAGAAGAAGACAGAUUCCCAGAUUUUGCAUUUAGUUUCCCCCUGCUGGGGAAACUCACCUACUCUCAAGCUUCAAUAUUCCAUUUGUGUUGAUUGACCCAAAUCUGCAUUUUUAUUCCCAGUCUUCAUCCAGUACUGCAGACAUGUACUCAACUAGUGACUGUGUCCAUUUGGAAAUUGCAGAAUCUCCUCAGACUCAACCUGCCUCAUCUCCUCAUUGACAUCCGUUAUUCUUGGCUUUGUUGUUUGACACAGUGGAUGGUACCACCACUCACCCAGGCAUCCAAGCUUGAAAUGUCGGUCACCCUAGACUUUUCCUUCUCCCUCAUUUCCCACAACUGGUUAUUCAACAAGUUCUGUCAUUUUUACUCCCUACAGAUCUCAAGGAUGCUGUUUUCUCAGCCAUGGUUGUAUUUCAGAUUCUCCGUCUCGCCCAUUUUAUUAAGAGAGAUUCCCUGUUUUUAAUUGCAUAAUUAAUAAACAUUUUCUCUUUGUAAAAGAUCCAAA
rnacentral:lncRNA from 1 species